GCGCCCCCUGCUGUCUGACCUCUAGAACUGCGCCUUCUCCCCAGGUUACCCCAGCCAGGAUCCUUUAUCCUCUAACCACAGGAGGCCCCUUCCUCUCGCCUCCCGGCCCCAGACGCCCCUGGUUGGACCAAAGAACCUAUCCAGCUUUGGAAUCCCAAUUCUCUCACUGGCAGCUGGCUGGAAAGGGAGACGGCUGGCUGAGAAUGGAGUAGUUGUUGGGGAGAUGGAGUUUCAGGAGCUGAAUCUUGGCUUUUUAGCCCCCAAGAGACGGAGAGGGAAGAGACUGGUUAAAUGAAGAGAAGACCUACCCCGAGGCUGCAGAGCAGGACCCAGAGGAAAGGAAUCUGGUGCAGGGAGAGGAGACAGGUCAGGGCACAGGGUCUCUUCCACCCCACCUCCUCCUGACAAGGCCAACAUCAAUGCGUAAAUGGACAGAUGAACUCUGCUUGGGCCUUGAAGAGAAGGAAGGAUCUUGCUGUCCAUGGUACUGAGAUAGGCUUGCUCAUUCAGGACCCGCAGUUCCCCUCUUGUCCUUUACAGAGCCUGCUACCAUUUGCAGAGCCAGGAUCAGGGCUGAGUACAUAAAGGGUGUUCAAGAGGCUCUUAUAACCCAUCCUCUCCAAACACAGAGAUAAGGAGAGAAGGAAAUGGAACCAGAAGGAAGAAAGGAAAUGAACAACAGAGAAAUCUAGAUCCAUUCAAUAAAAUUCUUGUGGGCCUAGACCUGUGUUGGGCGCUGUAAACAAAUAAAUGGGAAAAUACAAUAAAAAUUA